rnacentral:rRNA from 1 species
GAUGAACGCUGGCGGCGUGCCUAAUACAUGCAAGUCGAGCGAACAGACGAGGAGCUUGCUCCUCUGACGUUAGCGGCGGACGGGUGAGUAACACGUGGAUAACCUACCUAUAAGACUGGGAUAACUUCGGGAAACCGGAGCUAAUACCGGAUAAUAUAUUGAACCGCAUGGUUCAAUAGUGAAAGACGGUUUUGCUGUCACUUAUAGAUGGAUCCGCGCCGCAUUAGCUAGUUGGUAAGGUAACGGCUUACCAAGGCAACGAUGCGUAGCCGACGUGAGAGGGUGAUCGGCCACACUGGAACUGAGACACGGUCCAGACUCCUACGGGAGGCAGCAGUAGGGAAUCUUCCGCAAUGGGCGAAAGCUUGACGGAGCAACGCCGCGUGAGUGAUGAAGGUCUUCGGAUCGUAAAACUCUGUUAUUAGGGAAGAACAAAUGUGUAAGUAACUAUGCACGUCUUGACGGUACCUAAUCAGAAAGCCACGGCUAACUACGUG